AUGCUGGGAAGUUACCAGGGCUAUAAGAACUGAGGCAGGAGCUUUACUUAGAUCACCUGGAAAGGAGAGAAGUAGUAGAAGACUUCAGAUGGAACUUAAUAGCACCGAUGGCGAACGUGACUUCCUGAUGUCAGAGGAAGAAGAUUCUAUUUCAUGCGUUAAAAGAUCUCUAAAAAGAAAACUGGUGAAACACAGCACUCCAGUGGACUCAGUGUUCUCAGGAAAAACACCAUCUCUUUCAGGUCCAAUCAAUUGGUCAAUCAAUGACCAAGAUCUCAGUAAGAGAGCUUAUGUAUCCCCAGUGCCAAAAUCAGCUCUAGGAAAAUCAGUAGCUCAACUAUCAUUGGCAAGUGUUGAAGCAUACUUCCCUCAUAUGUCUCCAAAAAGGUAUUCAGUAGUAUUUGACUUGCAAGAUUCCAGUGGAGAGAGAAGCCAUAGUUCUCGAGCUGUGUAUUCUAGAAGACGACUUUCCACAGUAUUGGCAUCUGAUGAAUCAAUUGAAGAGACAAGUGAAAAGGUUGCCUCAAGUGCAGGAACUCAAACUCCCACAAAAGCAUCUGAGAAGUUAGCAGGAACUCCCAAGAGUGGAUCUUCAUGGAUGGUUUCUGGAAUACCAGGAAUAAAAGAUCCUCCAGUGUUGAAAAAGAAGAAAACUGAUAAAGCUAUUGUGAGAAAGAAACAAAGAGAAUGGGUGCUUCGCCAACUGAAAAACAUUGAGGAAGCAACUAAACAUGAAUUAACAAUUGAAGAAGUUUGAUCAAACUAUUUUUGGAAGUAAUGAUGUUUCGUGCUUAUUUUGUGAAUAGCAGAUUCCAAUAAAGUGCACAUCUGACUAAACUGCA
rnacentral:lncRNA from 1 species